rnacentral:rRNA from 1 species
AUUAAACGCUGGCGGCAUGCCUUACACAUGCAAGUCGAACGGCAGCAUGGGUGCUUGCACCUGAUGGCGAGUGGCGAACGGGUGAGUAAUGCAUCGGAACGUGCCCUUAAGUUUGGGAUAACGCGGCGAAAGUUGCGCUAAUACCGAAUACUACUUUACGAAGGAAAGCAGGGGAUCGCAAGGCCUUGUGCUUUUGGAGCGGCCGAUGUUGGAUUAGCUAGUUGGUGAGGUAAAGGCUUACCAAGGCUACGAUCCAUAGCGGGUCUGAGAGGGUGACCCGCCACACUGGGACUGAGAUACGGCACAGACUCCUCCGGGAGGCAGCGGUGGGGAAUUGUGGACAAUGGGCGAAAGCAUGCUGCAGCCAUGCCGCGUGAGUGAAGAAGGCCUUCGGGUUGUAAAGCUCUUUCGGCAGGGAAUAAAUCGCAUACUCUAACAUAGUGUGUGGAUGACGGUACCUGCAUAAGAAGCACCGGUUAACUACGUGCCAGCCGCCGCGGUAC